AGUGAAUGCUGGCGGUAGGCCUAACACAUGCAAGUCGAACGGCAGCACAGUAAGAGCUUGCUCUUACGGGUGGCGAGUGGCGGACGGGUGAGGAAUACAUCGGAAUCUACUUUUUCGUGGGGGAUAACGUAGGGAAACUUACGCUAAUACCGCAUACGACCUACGGGUGAAAGCAGGGGAUCUUCGGACCUUGCGCGAUUGAAUGAGCCGAUGUCGGAUUAGCUAGUUGGCGGGGUAAAGGCCCACCAAGGCGACGAUCCGUAGCUGGUCUGAGAGGAUGAUCAGCCACACUGGAACUGAGACACGGUCCAGACUCCUACGGGAGGCAGCAGUGGGGAAUAUUGAACAAUGGGCGCAAGCCUGAUCCAGCCAUACCGCGUGGGUGAAGAAGGCCUUCGGGUUGUAAAGCCCUUUUGUUGGGAAAGAAAAGCAGCAGGUUAAUACCCCGCUGUUCUGACGGUACCCAAAGAAUAAGCACCGGCUAACUUCGUG
rnacentral:rRNA from 1 species